rnacentral:rRNA from 1 species
UACAGAGGGUGCGAGCGUUGUUCGGAAUUACUGGGCGUAAAGCGCGCGAAGGCGGCUUUUUAAGUCCGACGGUGAAAUGCCGGGGCUCAACCCCGUGCCCGCCGCGGAUACUGGGAAGCUGGAGACGAGUAGAGGCAAGCGGAAUUCCGGGUGUAGCGGUGGAAUGCGUAGAGAUCCGGAAGAACACCGGAGGCGAAGGCGGCCUGCUGGGCUCGGUCUGACGCUGAGGCGCGAAAGCGUGGGGAGCGAACAGG